GUUAUGGUAUCCUGGGUGGUUGCUAAGGUGUUGCUAGGUGGUUGCUAGGCGGUUGCUAAGGUGUUGUUAUGGUAUCCGGGGUGGUUGCUAAAAUGUUGCUAGGUGGUUGCUAAGGUGUUGCUAUGGUAUCCGGGGUGGUUGCUAAGGUGUUGCUAGGUGGUUGCUAAGGUGUUGCUAGGUGGUUGCUAAGGUGUUGCUAUGGUAUCUGGGGUGGUUGCUAAGGUGUUGCUAGGUGGUUGCUAAGGUGUUGCUAGAUGGUUGCUAAGGUGUUGCUAUGGUAUCCAGGGUGGUUGCCAAGGUGUUGCUAGGUGGUUGCUAGGGUGUUGCUAGGCGGUUGCUAAGCGGUUGCUAUGGUAUCCGGGGUGGUUGCUAAGGUGUUGCUAGGUGUUGCUAGGUGGUUGCUAAGGUGUUGCUAGGUGGUUGCUAAGGUGUUGCUAGAUGGUUGCUAAGGUGUUGCUAUGGUAUCCAGGGUGGUUGCCAAGGUGUUGCUAGGUGGU